GACAGAGGGGGCAAGCGUUGCUCGGAAUUACUGGGCGUAAAGGGCGCGUAGGCGGGAUGGCAAGUCGGUCGUGAAAUCCCUCGGCUCAACCGAGGAACGUCGAUCGAUACUGCUGUUCUUGAGGAUUGCAGAGGAGACUGGAAUUCCCGGUGUAGCGGUGAAAUGUGUAGAGAUCGGGAGGAACCCCGGUGGCGAAGGCGGGUCUCUUGGCAAUUCCUGACGCUGAGGCGCGAAAGCGUGGGGAGCAAACGGG
rnacentral:rRNA from 1 species